AAUAUUGGUCAAUGGACGGAAGUCUGAACCAGCCAUGCCGCGUGCAGGAUGACGGCCCUACGGGUUGUAAACUGCUUUUAUAUGGGAAGAAACCCCCCGACGUGUUGGGGGCUGACGGUACCAUAGGAAUAAGGAUCGGCUAACUACGUGCCAGCAGCCGCGGUAAUACGGAGGAUCCAAGCGUUAUCCGGAAUCAUUGGGUUUAAAGGGUCCGUAGGCGGGACAAUAAGUCAGUGGUGAAAGUCUGCAGCUUAACUGUAGAAUUGCCGUUGAAACUGUUGUUCUUGAGUAAUUAUGAAGUGGUUAGAAUAUGUAGUGUAGCGGUGAAAUGCAUAGAUAUUACAUAGAAUACCGAUUGCGAAGGCAGAUCACUAAUAAUUCACUGACGCUGAUGGACGAAAGCGUAGGUAGCGAAC
rnacentral:rRNA from 1 species